rnacentral:lncRNA from 1 species
CUUAAACAAUGGUAUUAUUAGUGCUGUGACCAAAUUGUUUCUUGUCAGUUAACUCUGAUUUUUUCCCUCUUCUUUUAAUUUUGUAAUGAGAGUCACUAUAUUUCUUAGCUCCAUUCCAAAAUAUUAACUGGGGAGCUGCUCAUUUAUAAUAGUGCCAAACUUCUGACAGACAGAAAUUAUAAAAGAGGCCCCAGAAAAGCAUCAGAAAAAAAGGGAAACUUUUAAACAGAAAUGGUAAUUUGAAAUACUGACCCUAGGUUUAAAAUUUAGAAAAGGCCUGUUUUCUGGAGCAGUCAUCUGGAUGGUCCAACAGCUCCCUCUACUCCUCCAAGAGGGAAACAUGAAACACAGCAGGGCUGUGUGGAAGUGUGAGCAGCCCAGGCUUGGGGAAAGCCACAUGUUUCCUUGUUCCAGCCAGGAGCUCCAAAAUGGCCUCUUUCUUCUUAUGUCGUACAUGAGCUCAUGCUGUUAAGAAACGUAAUCGUGGCGGCGCUGGGACUGAGGACAGAAGCAACUGCGUCAUGUGCAGUCCCGCACAGCAGAGGCGUUCCCCGCACCAGCAUCCUGCACAAGAGCCAGCAAAGAGAGGCGCGCGUGGAAUUAAAAUCCGGGGUAGCCCCCGGCUUCUCACUGAGCACCCACCACCAACAAUGCUCAGCAGUGGAACGUGGACCAACUAAGAGGCAACCCUUCCUGCUGCCGCUUCCGCAGUCAGAAGGUGAAGACAGAGAGCAAACCUCCAGGAGAGGGCUCUGCUCCACUUUCUCCGGGACAUGGACGGGGCAGGUGACUGUUUCACGCUGUCAUGGGACACAUCAACUUCCAUCCCUGCUUUACCAUAUUAAAUGCUCUACAGUGGAGCUUACUUGAAGAAACUGAAAAUUUGAGCAGCCAUCGGUCCUAUUAAAUAACAUAACUCACCUAAAGCAGAGAAUCCAUGGACCCAGUAGAAGUAAAUUGCUGACCCAGUUAAAAUCUAUGGAGAAUGUGUCCUACGGCAUAUCCACGAAUAUACCUUCAAAAGGAAAGAGGUUAUGUCCAAGCGAAGAUGAGGAAUAUCUGAGGUGAAACUUCAAACAUCUAGAGAAACAUUACAGUGCUGGCUCAGCAAUGGCGAGAUUGCUGUUGGAGCUGUCAGCAAGUCCACUUUUGAUCCACAUCUCUCCAGGAUGAAGG